AAUAAACUCUGGGUUUCUGUGUUCAAUGUUUGACCGUUCAUCCUAUUUAAAAAAUUAUAAAAAAAAUUUAAAAGACAAGUCACACAUAAAGUAUUAAUCAUGGUUUAUCAUCUAACAACAAUAAAAAUACUAAUUAUAAAAAAAAUUUAUAUAAGACGGACAGUCAAAUGUUGGAUACGGAAAUUUAGAGUUAGUCUUUUU
rfam:Oryza glumipatula chromosome 12, whole genome shotgun sequence.